GGUUAAGCGACUAAGCGUACACGGUGGAUGCCCUGGCAGUCAGAGGCGAUGAAGGACGUGCUAAUCUGCGAUAAGCGUCGGUAAGGUGAUAUGAACCGUUAUAACCGGCGAUUUCCGAAUGGGGAAACCCAGUGUGUUUCGACACACUAUCAUUAACUGAAUCCAUAGGUUAAUGAGGCGAACCGGGGGAACUGAAACAUCUAAGUACCCCGAGGAAAAGAAAUCAACCGAGAUUCCCCCAGUAGCGGCGAGCGAACGGGGAGCAGCCCAGAGCCUGAAUCAGUGUGUGUGUUAGUGGAAGCGUCUGGAAAGGCGCGCGAUACAGGGUGACAGCCCCGUACACAAAAAUGCACAUGCUGUGAGCUCGAUGAGUAGGGCGGGACACGUGGUAUCCUGUCUGAAUAUGGGGGGACCAUCCUCCAAGGCUAAAUACUCCUGACUGACCGAUAGUGAACCAGUACCGUGAGGGAAAGGCGAAAAGAACCCCGGCGAGGGGAGUGAAAAAGAACCUGAAACCGUGUACGUACAAGCAGUGGGAGCACGCUUAGGCGUGUGACUGCGUACCUUUUGUAUAAUGGGUCAGCGACUUAUAUUCUGUAGCAAGGUUAACCGAAUAGGGGAGCCGAAGGGAAACCGAGUCUUAACUGGGCGUUAAGUUGCAGGGUAUAGACCCGAAACCCGGUGAUCUAGCCAUGGGCAGGUUGAAGGUUGGGUAACACUAACUGGAGGACCGAACCGACUAAUGUUGAAAAAUUAGCGGAUGACUUGUGGCUGGGGGUGAAAGGCCAAUCAAACCGGGAGAUAGCUGGUUCUCCCCGAAAGCUAUUUAGGUAGCGCCUCGUGAAUUCAUCUCCGGGGGUAGAGCACUGUUUCGGCAAGGGGGUCAUCCCGACUUACCAACCCGAUGCAAACUGCGAAUACCGGAGAAUGUUAUCACGGGAGACACACGGCGGGUGCUAACGUCCGUCGUGAAGAGGGAAACAACCCAGACCGCCAGCUAAGGUCCCAAAGUCAUGGUUAAGUGGGAAACGAUGUGGGAAGGCCCAGACAGCCAGGAUGUUGGCUUAGAAGCAGCCAUCAUUUAAAGAAAGCGUAAUAGCUCACUGGUCGAGUCGGCCUGCGCGGAAGAUGUAACGGGGCUAAACCAUGCACCGAAGCUGCGGCAGCGACACUAUGUGUUGUUGGGUAGGGGAGCGUUCUGUAAGCCUGUGAAGGUGUACUGUGAGGUAUGCUGGAGGUAUCAGAAGUGCGAAUGCUGACAUAAGUAACGAUAAAGCGGGUGAAAAGCCCGCUCGCCGGAAGACCAAGGGUUCCUGUCCAACGUUAAUCGGGGCAGGGUGAGUCGACCCCUAAGGCGAGGCCGAAAGGCGUAGUCGAUGGGAAACAGGUUAAUAUUCCUGUACUUGGUGUUACUGCGAAGGGGGGACGGAGAAGGCUAUGUUGGCCGGGCGACGGUUGUCCCGGUUUAAGCGUGUAGGCUGGUUUUCCAGGCAAAUCCGGAAAAUCAAGGCUGAGGCGUGAUGACGAGGCACUACGGUGCUGAAGCAACAAAUGCCCUGCUUCCAGGAAAAGCCUCUAAGCAUCAGGUAACAUCAAAUCGUACCCCAAACCGACACAGGUGGUCAGGUAGAGAAUACCAAGGCGCUUGAGAGAACUCGGGUGAAGGAACUAGGCAAAAUGGUGCCGUAACUUCGGGAGAAGGCACGCUGAUAUGUAGGUGAAGCGACUUGCUCGUGGAGCUGAAAUCAGUCGAAGAUACCAGCUGGCUGCAACUGUUUAUUAAAAACACAGCACUGUGCAAACACGAAAGUGGACGUAUACGGUGUGACGCCUGCCCGGUGCCGGAAGGUUAAUUGAUGGGGUUAGCGCAAGCGAAGCUCUUGAUCGAAGCCCCGGUAAACGGCGGCCGUAACUAUAACGGUCCUAAGGUAGCGAAAUUCCUUGUCGGGUAAGUUCCGACCUGCACGAAUGGCGUAAUGAUGGCCAGGCUGUCUCCACCCGAGACUCAGUGAAAUUGAACUCGCUGUGAAGAUGCAGUGUACCCGCGGCAAGACGGAAAGACCCCGUGAACCUUUACUAUAGCUUGACACUGAACAUUGAGCCUUGAUGUGUAGGAUAGGUGGGAGGCUUUGAAGUGUGGACGCCAGUCUGCAUGGAGCCGACCUUGAAAUACCACCCUUUAAUGUUUGAUGUUCUAACGUUGACCCGUAAUCCGGGUUGCGGACAGUGUCUGGUGGGUAGUUUGACUGGGGCGGUCUCCUCCUAAAGAGUAACGGAGGAGCACGAAGGUUGGCUAAUCCUGGUCGGACAUCAGGAGGUUAGUGCAAUGGCAUAAGCCAGCUUGACUGCGAGCGUGACGGCGCGAGCAGGUGCGAAAGCAGGUCAUAGUGAUCCGGUGGUUCUGAAUGGAAGGGCCAUCGCUCAACGGAUAAAAGGUACUCCGGGGAUAACAGGCUGAUACCGCCCAAGAGUUCAUAUCGACGGCGGUGUUUGGCACCUCGAUGUCGGCUCAUCACAUCCUGGGGCUGAAGUAGGUCCCAAGGGUAUGGCUGUUCGCCAUUUAAAGUGGUACGCGAGCUGGGUUUAGAACGUCGUGAGACAGUUCGGUCCCUAUCUGCCGUGGGCGCUGGAGAACUGAGGGGGGCUGCUCCUAGUACGAGAGGACCGGAGUGGACGCAUCACUGGUGUUCGGGUUGUCAUGCCAAUGGCACUGCCCGGUAGCUAAAUGCGGAAGAGAUAAGUGCUGAAAGCAUCUAAGCACGAAACUUGCCCCGAGAUGAGUUCUCCCUGACUCCUUGAGAGUCCUGAAGGAACGUUGAAGACGACGACGUUGAUAGGCCGGGUGUGUAAGCGCAGCGAUGCGUUGAGCUAACCGGUACUAAUGAACCGUGAGGCUUAACCUU
rnacentral:rRNA from 1 species